rnacentral:rRNA from 1 species
UACGUAGGCAGCGAGCGUUUGUUCGGAGUUACUGGGCGUAAAGAGUGCGUAGGCGGUGUUCCAAGUCUGGUGUGAAAUCUCCCGGCUCAACUGGGAGGGUGCGCCGGAAACUGGGAUGCUGGAGUAUGGGAGAGGUAAGCGGAAUUCCUGGUGUAGCGGUGAAAUGCGUAGAUAUCAGGAGGACACCUGCGGUGUAGACGGCUUACUGGACCAUGACUGACGCUGGAGGCACGAAAGCGUGGGGAGCAAACAGG